GGGCAGGUACAAAGAAGAGGUUAGCACUCCCCUUGACCUUGACCUCAGGCCUUACAUCAUGCAUAUAAUAGUUAAGACAUUGCCACCUACUUUGUGGCAUCUAAUCACCACUUAAG
rnacentral:ncRNA from 1 species